rnacentral:lncRNA from 1 species
AUGUACAUGUCUCAUCCAUGCUUGAUUUUUUUCUUCUUGAAGCAGAGGAAGAAGAUGAAGAAGAAAUGGAAAAAAUGCAGAACGGGAAGGAUCAAGGUUAGACGGACAACCCCGGGCUGUACAGCAAUUCAGGCACAGGGGGCUCUCAGUGAGCUCGUGCCCCGAAGACGUCCCUGCGCCGCUGGGAGAGGCACGUUCCGGCCGACCCAUCACCAUCGCGCGACUGUGAUCGACGUUGACCUCCCAGCCGACCGAGGGCUUUUCCCGUGGGCAUUUGCCUCUUAGGCCAUUGCAUGUACUGUUUUCCUCAGUGUGUUUACUAACGAUAAUCAGACAGUGCCCCAUCGAACUCUGCCAUUUGCGGGAGGUUCAAGAAAAAGGCAAUACUCCCUGCUCCCGCUACGCGUUCCGAUCUGUUGGAUUUCCCACCCAACAGCGGCACCAUCACAUCUCAUGCUGGCUGUUUCCUCUUGGCUCCUGCCCUUUGCUGUGCAUGACAAAAAUGAGGUUUGCACCAUUGGGGUCUCUUUGCGUGUAAAGCAGGGGCGACUCUUGAGUGUGGACCAUUCAGACCCACCUAGAAGCACCGCUCCACUGUCGGGUUGCUGUUGUAUUUGAUGUUACGUUGUCCUCUGUAAGUGAUGGCGUGUCAGGGGGGAACGAGCAGUGGGAGGACCCCAGACCAGUGCCUCUUCUUUAAACUGUUACCAAAUGUCCCCUUGCAGGCAGGAAAUUCAGGGAUGAGCAGCUCUGGGUUGGCAUCAGCAUCUCUGUGUUCAUUCUUGAGAGCCGAGCUGGUUUUGUUUAAAAUUAAGAGAAAGAGCAGAGUUGUGUAGUCUGAGGCUGGGAGCUCACCGCCGUCUGGGUGCUUAGGAAACAUUGCAAUCAGUUCCAAUCACACCAUUUCGGGUUUUUUUUUUUUCCCCUCGGUGCUCUGGAAUGUUAUUUUUAGUGGAAGGAGCUGAGUGCCCUAAUGCAGCCAUAAAUAUUUAUCAGGGGUGAUGAAUGGGAAGGAGCGAUAAAGCCCGAAGCCAAUGGCAGCCAGUGCGCCAUGGAGAGCUCUCGUUGGGUACCUGCAGCCCUUUGGGAGAGCAGAAAUAAACAGACGUGGUGGCCACA